rnacentral:rRNA from 1 species
CCUGGAAAUAGCUCUAACAUAAGAUCGUACCCUAAACCGACACAGGUGGACUGGUAGAGAAUACCAAGGCGCUUGAGAGAACGAUGUUGAAGGAACUCGGCAAAAUACCUCCGUAAGUUCGCGAGAAGGAGGCCCGGUUUCUAGGCAACUGGAAGCUGGGGGCACAAACCAGGGGGUGGCGACUGUUUACUAAAAACACAGGGCUCUGCGAAGUCGCAAGACGACGUAUAGGGUCUGACGCCUGCCCGGUGCCUGAAGGUUAAAAGGAGGGGUGAGAGCUCCGAAUUGAAGCCCAGGUAAACGGCGGCCGUAACUAUAACGGUCCUAAGGUAGCGAAAUUCCUUGUCGGGUAAGUUCCGACCUGCACGAAUGGCGUAACGACUUCCCCGCUGUCUCCAACAUCGACUCAGCGAAAUUGAAUUGCCUGUCAAGAUGCAGGCUUCCCGCGGUUAGACGGAAAGACCCCGUGCACCUUUACUACAGCUUCACACUGGCAUCAGGCACAACAUGUGCAGGAUAGGUGGUAGACUUUGAAGCAGGAACGCUAGUUCCUGUGGAGUCAUCCUUGAGAUACCACCCUUGUUCUGCUUGAUGUCUAACCGCGGUCCGUUAUCCGGAUCCGGGACCCUGUGUGGCGGGUAGUUUGACUGGGGCGGUCGCCUCCUAAAUCGUAACGGAGGCGCGCGAAGGUUGGCUCAGAGCGGUCGGACAUCGCUCGUUGAGUGCAAUGGCAGAAGCCAGCCUGACUGCAAGACUGACAAGUCGAGCAGAGUCGAAAGACGGCCAUAGUGAUCCGGUGGUCCCAAGUGGGAGGGCCAUCGCUCAACGGAUAAAAGGUACGCCGGGGAUAACAGGCUGAUGGUGCCCAAGAGUCCAUAUCGACGGCACCGUUUGGCACCUCGAUGUCGGCUCAUCUCAUCCUGGGGCUGGAGCAGGUCCCAAGGGUACGGCUGUUCGCCGUUUAAAGAGGUACGUGAGCUGGGUUUAGAACGUCGUGAGACAGUUCGGUCCCUAUCUGCCGUGGGUGUAGGAUACUUGAGAGGAGUUGCCCCUAGUACGAGAGGACCGGGGUGAACGUUCCACUGGUGGACCAGUUGUCAUGCCAAUGGCAGUGCUGGGUAGCUAUGAACGGACAGGAUAACCGCUGAAGGCAUCUAAGCGGGAAGCCCCCCUCAAAACAAGGUAUCCCUGAGAACCGAGGUAGACCACCUCGUCGAUAGGCCAGAGAUGUAAGCGCAGCAAUGCGUUCAGUUGACUGGUACUAAUUGUUCGAUAGGCUUGAU